CCCUUGCCUGCCCCAUCGGAGCCGCCGGAGGUGGAGUCCGCCCCCCGGACCCCCGAACUCCUGUGCGUGCCCCUCCAUGGUGCUCUAGGCUGUGGAGGGCAAGGCCAGUCCCCGGGAGCAGGGUGAGGAAGGGGCCCCCACGCAGCCCUGCUGUGGAUUGGCGGGAGGACCCCAGGCUGGGCCAACCCAGCAGCCCGCGGCCAGGAGCGGGCAUCCCAAUGGGGAAAUCGGCCAGGAGGGGCUGGGGAAGCUGGUGCCUUCGCCCGCGCCCCGUGAGCUUUACCUCCGUGCGACAAGAGCGGUGGCUCCGGGCGGGGCCCACGCAGCUGGAGCCUCCAUCUCUCCUGCGGGACCAGAGCACCGGGAAGACCUGACCGAGACCCAACGUCCCUGCCCCCGUUCUGGGGCUCUCUGCAGGCCCCAACUUCUGCGGGACUCUCCAGUGGGAGCAGCAAGGGUUCUCAGGAACAACCCCUAUACAAACCGGGACAGAGGCACCUCACUACUCCUUCUGUGCCCCACCUUCUCCACUGACCCUGCCGGAGUGCAGCACACACAGCAAGCAUUUAAUAAAUCGCUUGAAGUGGGGAACAUCUGUACUCGGUAAAGAAACCACAGGAAUUGGGAACUGCCGGUUGAAGAUUAUUUACCAGUUCCAGCAAAAUUGACUGCACCUGCCAUACUGCAGGCCGGUGCAGCAUCAGGAGCUGGAGACCAGGGGCAACAGGCAGCACGCGUGCUCCAGCUCAGAGUGGAAGGCCCUGGGAAAUGGUUUGAUUUCCUGCGCUGAACUGAUGCUGCUUCCAGAAUGAAUCUGCUCCUUGGUGGGUUCUGCUGAUGUGGCCAGUGCUAGCCUAGGCCACGACCACCUAGCCCACCACCCAGAAGGCAGCAUCCCCUGCUCCUGCUUUAACAAGCUGGCCCAUUUUCAUCUCUCCUACCUCUGGGAGUAGCAGGGGCGCUCCCGGAAGCUGACACCCCCUCCACAGGUCCGGCUGCAGGGGCUCCACUGGCUCCAGGGUCCCCAGGUGUCACUCUGCCGCCUCACCUUGGGAGCCUGCAGAAGACAGGACCAUGCAUCAGCAUUGCCCACUCACAGCCUGAGCCCAGAGGCCCCUCCAAAGAUGCUCUGCCUAAAACCCUCCCCUACCCAUCAAGGAGUCUGGGAUUCUCCCUUCCAGGGCCCACCUUUAGGACUCAGCAACACUGCCGGGCACCCCAAAACAUAUUCCUUUUCAGAAUUAGCCUGCUUUCCUCAUAAGGAGCUGAGAGCCAGGCCUGGAGGGCGGGAGCAGGAGCAGCUGGGAAGAGUUUGGAGUUUCAGGGGCCACUGGAGGGGAGGGACCCUACAGCCAGGGGCAGUUUGAGGGUCCAGGCAUUUGUAGGUUAACCGUGAUGUAGGGGAGGGGGGCCUAAAAGAAAAUAAAGGGAAGCAACGUGGGGGGAUCCUGCUAAUCUGGCCGAGACUCCCAGGAGUACCCCAAUAUUCAUCCCCUCCUUCUCCCAUUGUGAGAGAAUGCUUGAAAACUUGACUCAGCUGGGUACCUGGCUGCCCAAAAUUUAAAAAAAAAAUACAUUUCCUGGACUGCCUGCAGCUAACUGUGGCUACAUCACUUAGUUCUCAUCAGUGAGAUGUAAAUACAAGUGUUGGGCAGCUGCCGCAAAUAAUCUCCUCAAGAGAGA
rnacentral:lncRNA from 1 species